rnacentral:rRNA from 1 species
CCUACGGGGGGUAGCAGUGAGGAAUAUUGGUCAAUGGGCGAGAGCCUGAACCAACCAAGUCGCGUGAGGGAUGACGGUCCUAGGGAUUGUAAACCUCUUCUGUCGGGGAACAAAGGCGUCCACGUGUGGACUGAUGAGUGUACCCGACGAACAAGCAUCGGCUAACUCCGUGCCAGCAGCCGAGGUAAUACGGAGGAUGCGAUCGUUAUCAGGAUUUAUUGGGUUAAAAGGGGGCGUAGGAGGACAGUCAGGUCAGCGGUAAACAUGCGGUGCUAAAAGCCGUACAGCCGUUGAAACUGGCAGGCUUGAGUGGGCGAGAAGUAUGCGGAAUGCGUGGUGUAGCGGUGAAAUGCAUAGAUAUCACGCAGAACUCCGAUUGCGAAGGCAGCAUACCGGCGCCCUACUGACGCUGAGGCACGAAAGCGUGGGUAUCGAACAGGAUUAGAUACCCCUGUAGUC